rnacentral:lncRNA from 1 species
AAUUAAGGAUGUUUCUUCUAAAUUGUAAUCGAUAUAAGGCUCAGUUGGGACCCCAACAACUCAAGUACAUGACAGUCCUCAAAGCCUCUUCUGAUUGUUUAGACUGCCUCAGUCCUUUGCAAAUUGCGGCUGAGGAUUGAGAUGAGAGGUUCUUGGCCUGUGAAGCUGAUCUCAUGUGGUUCUUGGCAUGCUGGACAGCUGACCUUACAGUGUAGUUCCAUCUGCAGAUACCUUGGUCUUUCAGAGCCUCCACAGCUCCAAUACUAGCUGCAACAAUCCAUGCUCUGCUUGUUGAACUCAUCUUUGCAAAUACUUCUCUUAGAUUAUUGAAUCUUGAAUGCUGAAAUUGAAGAAAGCUUAUUAAGACGGAUAGACUGUGAUUUUGUUGAUUGAUGCUUAAGCGAGAAGGGGGCUGCUUAUAUUUAUAGGAUAGGGAUAGGGAUGGAUCAAAAAGCCAUAAACUGGGGGAAAGGAACGACAGGCUAUCUGCUCUAGCUCAUGGUUUUUGGAGACGAUGGUUUUGUUUGUUUUGGGCAGGUGGGUUGGACCUACUUGUAGUUAUCGUUAUGACCCCAAAUAGGUGAGGGCAAUGAAUGGGAUUUAGGAUAAUAAUUCAAUCCUGAGAUGAUUAAAGAUGGUCCAGGGGCACACCAUUUAUUCUAAAUAAUUAAAUAGCCAAUAAGGAGUAUGGGAGUACAAAAGUCCAAACCACCUGUUUUCUACCUCGGAAUUUGGAGGAAAACAAGAGGCAAAUUUUAGCACAUGACCAAACUCAGUGCCACCUACUGAGUUCGUCAUUGAAUAUUUACCGUCUCUUAGGUUAUGUGCUACCCAAUUCUCUAAUCCACGUUGCAGCGGGAUUGGCUGACACACUAGUAAUUCAUGCAAAUUAACUUAUUUUAUUAAAGUUCUAUAGUAUCGAACAUAUAUUCGAAUUUUGAACCAUAAAUUUUCCAUCAAAGUAGACCUUUCCUGGAAAAAAGAAUAAACUGAAGUGCUGGUAUUAACUAAAUAAUUAUUUCGGGAAAAGCAUUAACAAAAAUAAUUAGAACAAAAGAAUUGAAGAAACCCAGCCACUUACUUCAUGGUUGAGACUCAAAACAUGUCCUGUCUACGGUUUAAUUCCAAUUUUAAAGAUCCUCCAGGGAAGAUUUUUUUUUUCUUCAAAGAAAAAAGAGAUUGUCAUUAAUUUGAUGUAUUUUUUCCCACACUUUUUUAAUCUAUUUUAAUUAUAAUAAAUGUAUACAAUUUUUUAAUAUAUAUUUUAAUGCAUUCAUGAAUAAAUAAAUUUUAUUUAUAUUAUUAUCUUAAUUUUCAUAUUAGAGAUAAAUAUCGUCAUGUCUUUAUUUAUUUAGUUUUCCAUUACAAUUUCAUUUAGAAAAUAUGUAUUUAUGUUAUAUUUUAUUCAAAAAGAAGGAAAAAAAAAUUAUCCUGUUGUCAGAGAAAAUAGGAAGGCUUUCAUAGCCAUUCAAUAUAGAUUCCAAAUGAUAUAUCUACAAUUUUUAUAUUCCCUCGCCAUUCUUAAGGACUGUCAUCUAACAUACUACAACUUUAUACAUAUACAUGUAUGUUUGGAACAAUUGCAGGAGGAGGAAAUAUGUUGGCCUGAGAAUAUGAUCUGAGCUUGUUGUUGACAUGUUGGACCUUAUUACAUGAUUCUGCCUGCAAAAGCCUCAAUGUGUUUGAUUGCUCAGUCGUCGUUAAACCUUCUUCUGAAUGACCAAAGCUUGCACUCACGAGUCAAUGAUUCACCCAAAUAAAGGAUGUUUCUUCUAAAUUGUAAGCGAUUUUGACAGAUUUAAGGCUCAGUUGGGACCCCAACAACUCAAGUACAUGACUGUCCUCAAAGACUCUUCUGAUUGUUUAGAAUUGUUCAGUCCCUUUGAAAUUGCAGCUGAGGAUUGAGAAGAGAGGUUCUUGGCCUGUGAAGCUAACCUCACAUGGUUCUUGGCAUGCUGCACAACUGACCUUACCGUGUAGUUCCAUCUGCAGAUACCUUGGUCUUUCAGUGCCUCCACAGCUCCAAUACUAGCUGCAACAAUCCAUGCUCUGCUACUUGAACUCAUCCUUGCAAAUACUGUAAUCUUGAUUCUUGAAAUAGAAAUAGAAGCUUGUAUGAGAGAAAUACAGUGUGAUUUUGUUGGUAGGUAAGUGAAGGGGGCUGCUUAUAUUUAUAAGAUGGGGGAAUAAUGAUGAAUUACAAAGCCAAAAAUUAGAAGGAAACUACAGGCAAUUUGCCGGUGGUUUUCGACAGUGGUUUUUAGUGUUCUUUGGCAAGGUAGGUCCGACGCAUUUGGUAUAGUAUGACUUAAAUACCCAUCUAAAAUCACUUGAUGACAGGAAAUAAAUGAGGGCAAUAUAUAAAUUUAGGACAGCAUUCAAUCGUGACAUUAUUAAAAAUGAGCCGUGAGCACUUGUUUUUUAAUAAAUUUCAACUUGGACCUGAAAGAUGUGACUACAAAAAGUCUAAACCACCUGUUUUCUCCCCUGGGAUUGGGAAUUGGAAAACAGACUGCAAUUUUUUUUUUCAUUUUUUGAAAAAAAAAAAAUCAAAGUCCUCCUAGGGAAGAAGGUGCAAAUCCUAUAAUCUAGGGAAGUUUGUGUAAGAGCAUUUAGAGUAUCGAACCGACUCAGUGGUCUGUACCAGAUACGAAUUAGAGGUUGACACAUUUGAAUAUGUUAUGUUUGCCCAUGCAGAAGGUGUUUGGAAAGUUUUAACGUUCAGUAACUGUCCAAGAAAAGAGGGUUUAGAGGAUUCACGCAUUGGUGGUUGGAGAUUUUGAAUUGGCUCGGGAAAAAUGGGUUGUGGUCUGAAGUUGGUUUGAUUGCUAAUACUUGUUGGUCCUUUUGGAAGGCACGGAAUGAGUUGAUGUUUGACCAAUCCGUGCGUGCGAUUCGAUUGCGACUUGGAACAGAGCUUUGCUCGACAACCCUUGCGUUUCUGAAGGAAGCGAUCAAAUGAAACCGGUUCAUAACGUGAGUGAAAAUCAAAGAUGGAGAAAACCAACAUUUGGAACUGUUAAAAUUAACUGUGAUGCGUCGAUGGAUUCGGGUUCUCCAAUGACUGGUAUUGCAGCAAUUGCACGAGAUUAUAAUGGAAAAAUUAUUGACGGAACCAACGCAGUUGUUCGGACUACAUCUGUACGAGUGGCUGAGGCCUUGGCUUUAGGGCUUGGCUCGGUUCUUGAAAAAAGAUGGCAAUGGCAGUCUAUUAUCUUUGAAUCUAACAACAAAGAGUUGAUUUACUCUGUGAAAAGUAAAGUCGGUUAAAUUCUGAUAUCUCAGGAAAGCGUCAAAAAAAUAGAGUUGAAAAUUUGAAGAAAAAACAACAGAACUGAAACAGGGACAUUGAUUUCAGGAGAAAAUAGCACAAAGAAUGAAAAACAAACAAUUCUCAAAAUUCUUUUUAUUAGUUAUAUGAAGACAGAGAACUCAUUUCGUACAUCCAUUUGUAAGUUAUAUACAUUAUGCAAGCAAAGACCCCAGCCAUGCCCCCAGUCCUCAAACCUUGUUUCGAAUGACCAAAGCUUGCACUCGGGAGUCAAUGAUUCACCCAAAUUAAGAAUGUUCCUUGUAAUUGUAAUCCAUUUUGACAGAUUUAUGGCUCAGUUGGGACCCCAACAGCUCAAGUACAUGACAGUCCUCAAAGACUCUUCUGAUUGUUUAGACUUGUUCAGUCCCUUUGAAAUUGCAGCUGAGGAUUGAGAGGAGAGGUUCUUGGCCUGUGAAGCUGACCUCACAUGGUUCUUGGCAUGCUGCGCAACUGACCUUACUGUGUAGUUCCAUCUGCAAAUACCUUGAUCUUUCAGAGCCUCUACAGCUCCAAUACUAGCUGCAACAAUCCAUGCUCUGCUUGUAGAA